GGCGUCUUAUCCAAACGACCGGCAAGAUCCUUAUUUGGGCACAUAUCCCACUUAACCGCACUCAGGCUUCGCCGCGUCCACGUCUGGAUGCAGGUUCAGCAUCUCCUGUAAACCUCAGAAUAGAAUAGAAUCUUUAUUUGCCUGAUCUGGUGGUUAUCUAUCCGACAACCUAAACAGUAUACCUCUAGUCUAUAUCCUAGACAGAGUAUUAUCGCAUGUAUAGAUCUAAGCCGGUAUAAAUGGUUCACGAGCUCGCACUAGCCGUCCGUACUCUUCCUGGUUCACACCUCCUUCCCACCCAGCUGCCGAGCUGCCGACCUUUUAACCCUCCGGUUCAAAGGUCACAUUAAGAAAACAACCAAAACGUACAUACUCAAAUGAAAAUAAAAUACAGGCCAUAGGAAAAUAAACAUUCGGCAUAAUGCACUCAAAACCAUUAAACAUUUAUUAACACCUUUUAACUUAAAGAAAAUUAAAGGAAAAUAUAGCACAGUUCUACAAGCACCAUUAAUUAGUUAACAUUUGUUUGUUUAUUUAAUGAUUUAUUUGGCUCCGCCAACACAAAUAGAUCCGCAACUGGACUGGGACUGAACUGUUGCCAAGCAACACAAACACACACUAGCUAGCUAGAACAUAAACAGCGGAGCCA